AAGGAGUGGGAGAAGACUGUUAAAGACAGGAGUGUUUACUGCAAUCUUUGCUACUUAACGGGAAGGCGUGACCACAGUUUACCUUUUCUGGCCCCAGAGCAGAGAAGAGAAAAUAAGUUUGGUGAGAACCAAGCCGGAUUUGUACUGGCUGCCAGAGCUAACAUCAUGAACACCAGAAGAAAGGCCGGCCCUCUAACUAGCUUCCCUGCUCUCUGUUCAUGGAAAGCAGAGGCUGCAUCAAGAACUGAGUCCCUAGGAGGGAAUUCCAGCAAGGCAAGGUUACAGUAGGAGGCCGUGUUGAGAGGCAAGCGUUGGGGAGUAGGGUCUAUUUAUUUACUUAUCUUUAUUUUCAUACGUGUGAAUGUGUGAGUGUGUGUGAUGUACAUAUGAGGGUGCCCGUGGAGGCCAGAAGAGGGCAUCAGAUCCCUUGGAGCUUGAGUUGCAGGCAGGGUAGGUGGUAGGAACUAAGCUUGGUCCUCUGGAAGAGCAGCAAGUACUCUUUAUCACUGAAGCAUCUCGGCAGCCUCGGGAGGUAGAGUUCGCAUCUCAGAUUCAAGCACCAGUUUGGAGUCUAACUCUGAACUGGACAGGAGACUGUCUGUCUUCACGGUUCUGGUCACUGCCAUGUGCUCCAGAGAUCGUGUUUUCAAACUGAGUACGAACUCCUAGGAACCAAGACAGGGUGGCCUCUGGAAGCUGAGUGGUUCCCAGAGAUGGGCCCUGCCAUCAACCAUGGCACACUUGAAAGUCACUGAACCAGUGGGAGCCAAGGGUGAAGCCGAGAGCCUCCUGGUCCAUGCCUUCACAUCCAGGUAUUUAACAGACUGCAAUGGGCUGAGUUCCAACCCAGCACCCUCGGAGAAACAGACAAAAUGAUCCACACAGCCCCUCACUCUGGUCUUCCGUUUUUAUUUUAACUUUGGAAUUGGACCUGGACACCGUCCAAACACUAAGGCUUCUCUCUCCGCUGAGCCAGUUCACAUUCAGUAUUUACAUGGUCAUCAUAUUAAAACUGUAGUUUUUAAGGAACCCUGCAAGUAGCGUGGGUAUUCGUGGAUUUGCAUGGUGCUCGCGAGGCUGCGGCUCUGUAGCCUUUGGCUUUGCUGCUGGUUCGAUGAUAAAACCAUCACUUUUGUGUUUUUUCCUGAUUCUUCAGAUGGGACGUCAUAAAACUGCCAACUUUCUCUUUCUUAAAUAUGAGCCACAAAUCAUUCCUUAGCAGUGGAAUCAUUACCGAGGAACAGACAGUUGAGAGGUCUGUGUCACCAGCAUGAAGGAAGGUGGUGGGGAGACAUCCAGCCGUGCCCUAGAUCUGCUGUGAUAUAAACGGAGCACAAUACUGCUACAGUCUAAUAAUGAACUGUGACAGACAUCCCCACCAGCUCCAACAAAACAUUAACUGUCUUAUUUUUCUUUUUUCUUUUUUUCUCUGUGUAGCUCUGGCUGUCCUGGAACUCACUCUGUAGACCUGAAUGGUCUGGAACUCACAGAGAUCCACCUGUCUCUGCCUCUGGCCAAUUGCUGGGAUUAAAGGUGUGCUCCACCACCACCUGGGGCAUACUAACCAUCUUGAUAUCAGCAUCUUGUCCAUAAGAAUGUUGAGGAAGAAUGUCCACACUGUUCACACAAACACACACACAUGCACACACACACACACACACACACGAGAAAUGUAGCACUGGUAUCACCAACAAAUGUUUUCACUAAGCUGAUGAAACCAACGGUUAAAGAUGGCAGACCCCACCUCUUCUGUGGUUCUCUCUCCAUCUUUCGUACAUAGCAUCACUGUUACUUCAGAGCACUGAAGAAUUCUUUUUCCAUUUCUGCAUGAACCCCUCUGUGCACCUGUCUCCAGUCGGGUACCAAGUCUUAUCACAGGCUUUUGCUGAUGACCUACUGUGUGUUUGGGUACUUAUCCCUCACCACAGGCCUUUGCUGGUGACCUACUGUGUGUCCAGAUACUUACCCCUCAUUAUCAUGGGCCUUUGCUGCUGACCUACUGUGUGUCCAGGUACUUAUCCCUCAUUAUCACUGGCCUUUGCUGAUGACCUACUGUGUGUUCGGGUACUUAUCCCUCAUUAUCACUGGCCUUUGCUGAUGACCUACUGUGUGUUCGGGUACUUAUCCCUCAUUAUCACUGGCCUUUGCUGAUGACCUACUGUGUGUUCGGGUACUUAUCCCUCACCACAGGCCUUUGCUAGUGACCUACUGUGUGUCCAGAUACUUACCCCUCAUUAUCACGGGCCUUUGCUAGUGACCUACUGUGCGUCCUUCUCAGCUGUGCUCACAGCUACAGCCCAGAAAUCUGACUCAUGUUUUUUUUUAGUACAGGAGUGAUAUAGACAGUGAGGAGACUAAAACGCUUUUUAGGCUUCUGGUUUUUUCAGUGUUUGGUUUAUUGUUUGUCUGAUUUUUGUUUUUAAGUGGUGGCAGACAAUUGGGAGGUCCCUCCCAGAAAGCUCCACUGCCUCUGACUCGGUCACAAGGACAACAGGAGCAGCAACCUGGCUCGUGCAAAUGUGGUGUUGUCCUUGUGUCUCGUGAAGCCCGCUGCUUCACAGCACCAAGUGAUCUGUAGGGUUUCACUUAGCCUGCGCUAGGCAAGGGUCCCACUGUGUCCUUGAUGCCUUACUACUGUAUACCAUCCUUACCUAUUAACAUAACCACCCGGUACCUACCCACCUGUAGAGAAUGCGUAAUUACUGUUUUACCACCAACAGACGUGUAAAACCACAAGGGAGCAAAAGCUCACCAAAUAAAUGUCUCAUCACCCACAGUAUGUACACACGAGUGUUUGGUUAAUAUUACUAAGUUAGGCCAGGCUACCCAGCACUCAAGACGACACGCAGAGCUGCAGGAAAUUAUCUUUCAUGAACCAGCAGCUAGCUCCGUGACUUUGAGGUAGGGUUUGCCGCCAGCAUCAUCAGUGAUGAACAGCAUUCGUGCCGUGGACAUGUAAAAGCUGCUUCUGUGCCAGCUCUUAUAGAGGUCACGUGGAGGAGGAAAUGUAUUCACGCCAGCCCUCCUUUGCUCAGAGUGCUCUUUUCCCAUCCGGUCCCAGAGCCAAGUCAUGCACAUGGUGGUCUGAAGCCCUGCAGUGCACAGAUGCGGGCAGGAGAGAUGUGUACUCAUGCUUCUCACACCUCAUGAGAGAUCACACAGGCCACGCAGGGAC